GCGGGCCCAUGGGGCGCAGCAGUGGGGGAUAUUGCACAAUGGGGGGAACCCUGAUGCAGCGACGCCGCGUGGGUGAAGAAGCGCUUCGGCGCGUAAAGCCCUGUCAGCAGGGAAGAAAAUGACGGUACCUGAAGAAGAAGCCCCGGCUAACUACGUGCCAGCAGCCGCGGUAAUACGUAGGGGGCAAGCGUUAUCCGGAUUUACUGGGUGUAAAGGGGGCGCAGACGGCGAUGCAAGCUAGGAGUGAAAGCCCGGGGCCCAACCCCGGGACUGCUCUUGGAACUGCGUGGCUGGAGUGCAGGAGG
rnacentral:rRNA from 1 species